ensembl:misc_RNA Metazoa_SRP Metazoan signal recognition particle RNA
GCUGGGCAGGGUGGUGCAAGCCUGUAAUCCCAGCUACUUGGGAGGCUGAGGCAGGAGAAGCACUUGAACCCAGGAGGUGGAGGUUGCAGUGAGCCAAGAUCGUGCCACUGCACUCCAGCCUGGGUGACAGAGUGAGAUUCUGCCUCAA